GUCGAGAAUCAUUCGCAAUGGGCGAAAGCCUGACGAUGCGACGCCGCGUGAGCGAUGAAGGCCUUCGGGUUGUAAAGCUCUUUCGCUUGGGAAUAAGUGAAGUGGAUGAAUAAUCCAUGGAAUUGAAGGUACCAGGUAAAGAAGCACCGGCUAACUCCGUGCCAGCAGCUGCGGUAAUACGGAGGGUGCUAGCGUUAAUCGGAUUUAUUGGGCGUAAAGAGCGCGUAGGCGUUCGUGUAAGUCGUGUGUGAAAACCCAAAGCUCAACUUUGGGACUGCAUUCGAAACUACAUGAAUUGAGGAUGGACGGAGAGAGCGGAAUUCCACGUGUAGCGGUGAAAUGCGUAGAUAUGUGGAGGAACACCUGUGGCGAAAGCGGCUCUCUAGUUUACUCCUGACGCUGAGGCGCGAAAGCAAGGGUAGCAAACAGG
rnacentral:rRNA from 1 species